AAAGUGAGUGGUUGAGGAAGAAAAACGGCGGUGGAAUGGCGGCCUGUGGAUGCGGACGUGGCGGUCGUGGAGGAAGAGGCAGGGGACAAAGCGUGAGGAGUGCAGGGUCAGAUAAGGAAACGGAGGCUCAAAAAGAUUCAGGAUGUGUGCGGAGGGCCAACUGGGCUGGCUCCAGAGUGGGCGCCCCUGAAUAUUUCUCUGCUGCCCCUGGAAGGGCCAGGUUCUCCAGAUGAAGGAUACCAGCCCUGCCUUCCCAUGCAAGCUGAACCUCAGGAGAAGAGGUCCAUCCACGUUACAAACGGCAAGAGCUCAUUCCUUUUUUAUGGCCGAGUAAUAUUCCA